rnacentral:rRNA from 1 species
GACGAACGCUGGCGGCGUGCCUAAUACAUGCAAGUCGAGCGGAAUGAUGAAGAAGCUUGCUUCUUCUGAUUUUAGCGGCGGACGGGUGAGUAACACGUGGGCAACCUACCUUGUAGAUUGGGAUAACUCCGGGAAACCGGGGCUAAUACCGAAUAAUCCAUUUUGCUUCACGGCGAGAUGUUGAAAGACGGUUUCGGCUGUCACUAUAAGAUGGGCCCGCGGCGCAUUAGCUAGUUGGUAGGGUAAUGGCCUACCAAGGCGACGAUGCGUAGCCGACCUGAGAGGGUGAUCGGCCACACUGGGACUGAGACACGGCCCAGACUCCUACGGGAGGCAGCAGUAGGGAAUCUUCCACAAUGGACGAAAGUCUGAUGGAGCAACGCCGCGUGAGUGAAGAAGGUUUUCGGAUCGUAAAACUCUGUUGUAAGGGAAGAACACGUACGAGAGUAACUGCUCGUACCUUGACGGUACCUUAUUAGAAAGCCACGGCUAACUACGUG